rnacentral:pre_miRNA from 12 species
UCCUGUGUUUUAUGAGGCCUUAAAGUACUGUAGCAGCACAUCAUGGUUUACAUACUACAGUCAAGAUGCGAAUCAUUAUUUGCUGCUCUAGAAAUUUAAGGAAAUUCAUUCAAAACUGCU